UGCAACCCGACUCCACGAAGUUGGAUUCGCUAGUAAUCGCGCAUCAGCCAUGGCGCGGUGAAUACGUUCCCGGGCCUUGUACACACCGCCCGUCAAGCCAUGGGAGCCGGGGGCGCCUGAAGUCCGGGACCGCGAGGACCGGCCUAGGGCGAAACUGGUAACUGGGGCUAAGUCGUAACAAGGUAAC
rnacentral:rRNA from 1 species